rnacentral:rRNA from 1 species
UGAGGAAUAUUGCGCAAUGGGGGCAACCCUGACGCAGCAACGCCGCGUGAGUGAGGAAGGUUUUCGGACCGUAAAGCUCUGUCGAGCGGGAAGAAAUGCAUAGUGGCUAAUAUCCAUGAUAUUUGACGGUACCGCUAAAGGAAGCACCGGCUAACUCCGUGCCAGCAGCCGCGGUAAUACGGGGGGUGCAAGCGUUGUUCGGAAUUAUUGGGCGUAAAGAGCGUGUAGGCGGCUGAAUAAGUCAGAUGUGAAAUCCCUGGGCUUAACCCAGGAAGUGCAUUUGAAACUAUUCAGCUUGAGUAGGGGAGAUGAAAGUGGAAUUCCUGGUGGAGAGGUGAAAUUCGUAGAUAUCAGGAGGAACGCCGGUGGCGAAGGCGACUUUCUGGCCCUAUACUGACGCUGGGACGCGAGAGCGUGGGUAGCAAACA